AGGGAAGACUGAAGAGUCCGCGACAGAAGGUGGAGGAUCCAAGCCGGAGGUGGAAGAGUCUGCGCUGCAAGCCAGGCGACGACGUCCAAGCCGAAUGAGAAGACUGAAGUUCCAAUGAAGAAGCGAGCAGGCGACAG